GGAAAACACCAAGGGAAGGAUGGAAAACAACAAGGGAAGGAUGGAAAACAACAAGGGAAGGAUGGAAAACAAAAAGGGAAGGAUGGAAAACACCGAGGGAAAGAUGGAAAACAAAAAGGGAAGGAUGGAAAACACCGAGGGAAAGGUGGAAAACACCAAGGGAAGGAUGGAAAACAACAAGGGAAGGAUGGAAAACAUCAAGGGAAAGGUGGAAAACAAAAAGGGAAGGAUGGAAAACAAAAAGGGAAGGAUGGAAAACAAAAAGGGAAGGAUGGAAAACAACAAGGGAAGGAUGGAAAACAACAAGGGAAGGAUGGAAAACACCAAGGGAAGGAUGGAAAACAACAAGGGAAGGAUGGAAAACAUCAAGGGAAAGGUGGAAAACACCAAGGGAAGGCUGGAAAACACCGAGGGAAGGCUGGAACACGGGAUGGAAAACCCCACGUGGAAGGACGGAGAACACGCCGUGUACCCCACAAACAUCUCUUGUACAACCCCACAAACCAACCCAGAACCCCAAACCCGCGGAAAUCCGGCUCUGGAACCCCCCCCCAAAUGCAGGGAAAGCUGGUUCUGGACCCCCCAAAUCCAUGGAAAUCCGUGGAAAUCCAUGGAAAGGCGGAGCUGGUCCCUCCCUAGGCGGUGGCAGCUCGCAGGUGGUCGCCCGCCCUCCUCUCCACCUGGGCACAGUAUUUGUCGGGCAUCCCGGUGGCCCUGAGGAGGGAAGGGAAGGAUCCGGAGGGAAGGGAAGGAUCUGGAGGGAAGGGAAGGAUCUGGAGGGAAGGGAAGGAUCCAGAGGGAAGGGAAGGAUCUGGAAUGAAGGGAAGGAUCCGGAGGGAAGGGAAGGAUCUGGAGGGAAGGUUUGGGAAGGAUCUGGAGGGAAGGGAAGGAUCCAGAGGGAAGGGAAGGAUCUGGAGGGAAGGGAAGGAUCCAAAGGGAAGGGAAGGAUUUGGAGGGAAAGGAAGGAUCUGGGGGGAAGGGAAGGAUCCAAAGGGAAGGGAAGGAUCUGGAGGGAAGGGAAG
rnacentral:lncRNA from 1 species